rnacentral:lncRNA from 1 species
CCUCUUAUCAGAUCUGUUCUGGACAAUGUUCCCGUGGGUUUACAGGGAGCCAGGCAUAAUGCUCAUCAGUACUACGGGCUAUCAUCUUCUGAUCUCCACCAUUACUACUUAAACCGACCUCAUCCUCCUCCAUCAUCAACUCUCUCUGUUCCUCCACCUCUAGGGUUUCGAAACAUCGAUAGCAAAAACGAGAAAGGGUUCUGUUUCUUGACCAUGGGGACAUCACCGUGUAAUGAUACAGAAUCUAAGAAGUCACACAUCGUGUUGUUCGGAAAGCUCAUACUACCCGAGGAGCAGAAAGGGUCAGAGAAGACGCAGCUUUCAUCAGGCGGAUCGAACCAGAACUGUGUUGUGGGUUCUUCAUCAGAAGAAGGAUCACCUUGCUCCAAAAAAGCUCAUGAUGGAUUGGGUUUGGAGACGGGGCAUUGUAAAGUGUUUAUGGAGUCGGACGAUGUUGGUCGGACGUUAGACCUGUCGGUUCUUGGCUCGUACGAAGAGUUGGGUAUGAAGCUCUCUGACAUGUUUGGUAUUCAAAAGUCUGAGAUGUUGAGCUCUGUUCUCUAUAGGGAUGCAUCAGGAGCAGUCAAGUACCCAGGAAACGAACCUUUCAGGUAAAAACAAGAAGCAGAGUUUUGUAUAUAAAUGUCCUAAUCUGUGGAGAUUGAGUUAAGCAUCUGAUUAGUAAAUAAAUGUUUGCAGUGAGUUCUUGAAGACAGCUCGGAGAUUGACGAUUCUGUCUGAGCAAGGAAGCGAGAGCGUUGUGGUAUAAGAAUGAAUCAGUGUGUUUUCUUGGAGCUUGGAAGUCAAAGCUUGAAGUUUCUGUUUAUUUUUCUUUGUUUAAAAAUAUUUAUUUUGGUUCCAUUAUUUUGGUUUAUGUAAUUUACGAAAUAUACAGUCAUUCUAUUUGCAAAUAAAAUAGAUUCAUCUUUUCUUGAUAUGAUGUCACUUUAUUUACAAAAUCUAAAGCUAAUGAUUAUAGCUUGGUAAAACUAAAACCUAGAGACUCAAGCUAAUCUUUGUAUUGCUUUUCUUUUUGAUUCCCUUGUCUACCUUUGGAUUGCAAGAUCUGGUGAACCUUGGUUUAAUAUAGUUGAAUAGUUAGAUUGCUGAUUGUAGUUGAUACUUGUAUAUGCAUUUAACUUGUAAGUUGGAAGUAGUGUACAAAGAAGAUAAUCAAUAUAAGAGAUUAUUUUGAAGCUCUCUUGUUUCUCUCAUCUUCUUCCUCUUGUAGAUUCGUUUUACAUAGGAGCCUCAUAUAGUAUCUUACUGAAGUAAACGUUGGUUGCAUGGCUUAGUCUACAGGUUCAUGUGUUCAGGUAACCCCUUCCGCAAGUUGCCUUAUUUUCAAAAAUUAGAUAAAUUGCUUAAAAUAUUAUUAAAAAUACAUUCAUCAAAAAUCUAUUAAUAUUUGGGUUUAAGGUUUGGUGAGUAUUGUUUAGAGUUUAAUAUCUAAGGGGUGGGACUGGGUUUAUAAAUUUCUAUAAAUAAUUUUUAAACAUUUUUAAAUGAUUUAGAAUGGUUAGUUUAGUUUUUUUUAUCACAAAUUCAAGGUAUUUAUGAAAAUUUUCAUCCUUUAAAGUUAAAUUUGAAAAAUGAUAUUAAAUUUAAAGUUAAAUUAGAAUUUCCCUGUAUUCUUUACUUGUAAUCCAAGAAAGGCUCAAGGUUGCAUUUUGUGUGUUUCAGGUGGCGUGGGAUGAGCCGGAUCUACUCCAAAACGUGAAGCGGGUUAACCCGUGGUUGGUCGAGUUGGUAUCCAACGUACAUCCGAUAAUCCCUUCGUUUUCGCCACCUAGGAAAAAGAUGAGGCUACCUCAGCAUCCGGAUUACAACACUCGGAUCUCAGUACCUUCAUUCGCAAGCAACCCUCUUAUCAGAUCUGUUCUGGACAAUGUUCCCGUGGGUUUACAGGGAGCCAGGCAUAAUGCUCAUCAGUACUACGGGCUAUCAUCUUCUGAUCUCCACCAUUACUACUUAAACCGACCUCAUCCUCCUCCAUCAUCAACUCUCUCUGUUCCUCCACCUCUAGGGUUUCGAAACAUCGAUAGCAAAAACGAGAAAGGGUUCUGUUUCUUGACCAUGGGGACAUCACCGUGUAAUGAUACAGAAUCUAAGAAGUCACACAUCGUGUUGUUCGGAAAGCUCA